rnacentral:tRNA from 2 species
UGGGGCGUAGCCAAGUGGUAAGGCAACGGGUUUUGAUCCCGUCAUUCGCAGGUUCGAAUCCUGCCGCCCCAGCCA